UACGGAGGGUGCAAGCGUUAUCCGGAUUCACUGGGCGUAAAGCGUGCGUAGACGGUUACAUAAGUCGGGUGUGAAAGCCCCGGGCUCAACCUGGGAAUUGCAUUCGAGACUGCGUAGCUAGGGUGCGGAAGAGGGAAGCGGAAUUUCCGGUGUAGCGGUGAAAUGCGUAGAUAUCGGAAGGAACACCAGUGGCGAAAGCGGCUUCCUGGUCCAGCACCGACGUUCAGGCACGAAAGCGUGGGGAGCAAACAGG
rnacentral:rRNA from 1 species